CAUAGGUAAUACACCUAGGAGAGCAAACUCCGAACAAGAAACCCGGGCAGGUGGAGCUCGUCAGCCGUGGUAGGCAAUCUUCCUAGGAGAGCAAACUUCGAACAAUAAAUCCGGGCAGGUGGAGGUCGUUAGCCGUGAUAGGCAAUUCACCUAGGAGAGCAAACUCUAAACAAACCCGGGCAGGUGGAGGUCGUCAGCCGUGGUAGGCAAUCUGCCUAGGAGAGCAAACUCUAAAUAAACCCGGGCUUGUGGUGCUCGUUAUACUGUCGUAGACAAUCCACGCGAUGGGAACACCAAAGAAAAGGAAAAUAAAAAAGAACACCAGAAAAAUGGAAAAUACAGAAACGAAACAUCAAGAAAAGAAACAAAAAGAUCAUCCACCUUUAGGCCCUAGCAUCGCCAAAAUUAUGGGUGGGUUUCUUCUGGGGAGAAAGCGGCUCAUCCAUACCAAAGAACAUCAACAAAAGGAUGAUAUGAAUAAAUGAAAUCAAAAAACAUAAAGAAAAACGCUUCAAGGAAAGAAAAAUAUAACAAACAUCAUCCACCUUCCGGCCCUGACUAACAUCACCAAAAUUAUGGGUGGGUCUCUUCUGGGGAGAAAGCGGCUCACCCAGACCAAAGAACAUCAACAAGGGAUGAUAUAGAAAAGAACACCAAAAAAAUAUGGAAAAAGAACAGAAAAAACAUCGAAAAAGAAAAGCAACAGAAAUAAACUAACAUCAAGAAAAGAGAAAUACAAAGAAACAUCACCCACCUUUCGGCCCCAAACAAUAUCACCAAAAUUAUGGAUGGGUCUCUUCUGGGAGGAAAGCGGCUCAUCCAGACCAAGGAACAUCAACAAAAGGAUGAUAGGAAAAAAAUAACAACAAAAAGCAUCAAAAGGUAAAAAGAAAAAGAACAGGAAAACAUCGAAAAGGAAAACAAAAGCAAUAAAAAGAACGAAAAACACGACAUCAAGAAAAUAAAAUAAAACAAACAUCAUCCACCUUUCGGCCCUAACAACAUCUCCAAAAUUAUGGGUGGGUCUCUUCUGGGAGGAAAGCGGCUCACCCAGACCAACGAACAUCAACAAAAGGAUGAUAGGAAAAAAGAACACCAAAAAAGAACAUAAAAAAAGAAAACCAACAGCAAGAAAACACAAAGGAAAAAAGAAAGAAAAAGAAAAGAAAAAGAAAA